rnacentral:rRNA from 1 species
GACGAACGCUGGCGGCGUGCCUAAUACAUGCAAGUUGAGCGCUGAAGGUUGGUACUUGUACCAACUGGAUGAGCAGCGAACGGGUGAGUAACGCGUGGGGAAUCUGCCUUUGAGCGGGGGACAACAUUUGGAAACGAAUGCUAAUACCGCAUAAAAACUUUAAACACAAGUUUUAAGUUUGAAAGAUGCAAUUGCAUCACUCAAAGAUGAUCCCGCGUUGUAUUAGCUAGUUGGUGAGGUAAAGGCUCACCAAGGCGAUGAUACAUAGCCGACCUGAGAGGGUGAUCGGCCACAUUGGGACUGAGACACGGCCCAAACUCCUACGGGAGGCAGCAGUAGGGAAUCUUCGGCAAUGGACGAAAGUCUGACCGAGCAACGCCGCGGGAGGGAAGAAGGGUUUCGGAUCGUAAAACUCGGUUGGUAGAGAAGAACGUUGGUGAGAGUGGAAAGCUCAUCAAGUGACGGUAACUACCCAGAAAGGGACGGCUAACUACGUG